GCUGGGCGUGGUGGCGGGCGCCUGUAGUCCCAGCUACUCAGGAGGCUGAGGCAGGAGAAUCGCUUGAACCCAGGAGGCAGAGGUUGCAGUGAGCUGAGAUCAUACCACUGCACUCCAGCCUGGGCGACAGAGCGAGACUCCGUCUCAU
rnacentral:SRP_RNA from 1 species